rnacentral:rRNA from 1 species
UACGGAGGGGGCUAGCGUUGUUCGGAAUUACUGGGCGUAAAGCGCGCGUGGGCGGCUUUGUAAGUUAGAGGUGAAAGCCCGGAGCUCAACUCCGGAAUUGCCUUUAAGACUGCAUCGCUAGAAUCAUGGAGAGGUUAGUGGAAUUCCGAGUGUAGAGGUGAAAUUCGUAGAUAUUCGGAAGAACACCAGUGGCGAAGGCGACUAACUGGACAUGUAUUGACGCUGAGGUGCGAAAGCGUGGGGAGCAAACAGG